rfam:Puccinia graminis f. sp. tritici CRL 75-36-700-3 supercont2.7 genomic scaffold, whole genome shotgun sequence.
GCGUUGUUGGUGUAGUGGUUAGCAUUGAAGCCUUCCACCCCCGUCGGGGAGAACCAGCUUUAGUCCGGGGUUCGAAUCCCCGACAACGCA